rfam:Mesocricetus auratus contig009400, whole genome shotgun sequence.
GUCUACGGCCAUACCACCCUGAACGUGCCCGAUCUCAUGUGAUCUUGAAAGCUAAGCAGGGUCGAGCCUGGUUAGUACUUGGAUGGGAGAAAAUAAGUCAAAGGGAUCAGCUAGGAUUCAAAAGUC